GUGUUUGCUAAUUGAAGAAAGAGUUCAUUUGAGAAUGAGCUAUUCUGAUUACACGAUACAGACACUUGGACCUUUGAAAAGCAGCUGAAAGUCCCUGUACCAUCUCAGAGCCCAAAGUUCCACAGCCCAUAAAGUGCUUCUCCCCAAAAAACUUUGACCCAUCAGAUUAACUUAGAUACAGCCAUCUGAACUGAUAACACUUUGGGCAGAGCAGCACACUGCUGUGAAUGACAUGUCACACUGGUGCCUCGAGCACAACUGUCUAAGAACAGAAGCAUUAAUAAACACGGAUGCGAUCCUGUGGCCAUCGAGGCACACAGUCCCCUUGGCCAGUAGCUAAUGCAGGCCCCUUGCUUUUGGUUAGCCACGAACAAAGAACAGAAUCUCAGAGCGUUUCCCAGGUCCUCCCAGUAACACAGCACAGUGACACAAGGGGCUUAGACUGCAGCACUGAUGUCAGGAAUUCCUCUCUCUCUCCCUGCAACAACUCCAGUCAAAGAACCGGACCCCUCAAGCAAGCUGCAAGCACACAGGACAAUUUACCCACUCUCAUUUUGAAGGCUUUUAGGCUGGUGUGCUAAGUAGCAGCUCUUUAGCAAUCAUUACUGAGUAAGUACUUGCUCCUAGAUACCAAUUUCAAAAUAGCCAGUACUAGCAUGUCACUAGAAUACAGAAUGAGAAGACUCAGUCAAAGGAGCUGUCUGCAGCUUGGAUUCCACACACAGCUUCAGAUAACAAAACACAGAGCAAUGACCUACCCCUCCUGUGUUCUGUUUCCGAACAUCCAGGGCGGACGCCAGUCCUUUGACAGCUUGUGGGUCCUCAUAUGUCACACUGCAACAAAGGAACAAACCACAGAACUAGAAGGAAGUCCAGCAGUCAUCCAUGGAGAAUGCACAUGCUAUUUUGAUUAACUUCUCUUGAAAUCAAAAACUACAUUCUUUUUCCUAACAAGACUUAAGUGCACUACAUGUGUUCUAAAAAGAGGGGUGUGCUCUGUAUAGAACUAGCUAGCAGUUCCUCAGACAGCUUGUUGUAGAAAAAAAAAAAGAGGAAAACUGACAUUAUGAGAGGGAGGCAAGUAGGUUAUGAGGCACCACAAGCACAUCCAAGAGGUAGCAGGGGACUAUGAAAAAAGGCUUGAUUACAGACUACGAUUUACAAAGCUUUCUAUGUGAUGUUUGGAAACCUGUCCUUGAUGCAUGGAGGGAAACUGGCAGAGAGAGAUUUGGAGGCAGGUGAAACACUCCUAAGAACUAAAGCAAAGCACAUGAAGAAGUGCACUGACUUGGCUCAUCACCAUCUAUUUGCAGAGGCUGGAUUUUUAAAAAGCUCCCUACAACACUGUGUAAAAGGGACACGUACUAGUCAGGUGGCAGUGGCAAUUGCAUCACUUCUCUGAGCAUAGCAGCAGCCCCUGGCAGGAGUUGUGGCUGUGCAGGAGUGCUGGCUUCUCCUGGGCUCUCAGCACAGCAUCCAGAGGCUCGCACUUAAGCAUGGUGGCAUGUCACACUCACAUCUUCACUGCCUCACUGCUGCUCCACUUACACAGAGUGCAGUCCAAGGAAGACACAGCAAUUCUUCCCUGUGAAAUCACGGACUGAUGUGCACUCCUUGUUCUAUUAGCUCGCAGAAGGAGAUAGAGGUGCAGUGUGGGAAGCUAGUUUCGCGCUUCAUUUAGCACAAGAGACAGAAGGAACUCCAUUAGAUCUCUCUGCAAUGCAUCUCCUUUCUGACUGCACAUUAGGGCUCUCAGCCUGAAAUCUCUAGUGGUAACGUAUGCCCCUACAGCAGAGCACAUCUCAGCACUGACACUACAGCUGAAGCAGUACAAACAGCUAUACUGAUGGCUGUAAAUGAAAGAUCCUAAUAAGCCUGCCAGCUGAAAUUAUCGAAAACUUAUCAGCUCUGGAAAAUCUGCUAAAGUCUCAGCUAAGCUAUUUAACAUUUUUUUGGUUUGAGAUGAAGUGUUGCUCUGACUGCUGGUAGCCACUACACCUUCUUGAAUUUGAAACCAGGAGGCAGCAAGAAAUAAUAUAUGAAAGUAAAUUACCUGAGUGGCUUUUAAUGAAUCUCACUUGACAGGGAUCAAAGGAUUUCUUAAUAAAUGCAUAGAUUUAUUUUAAAUUAAAAUAAUUGGGCCUGAUAAAUACCCACGAAAUUGCCAGACUUGCAGCCCUAGAGAUGCAAGCCCUACAAAUAUAAACAAAUUAGAGACAGCAUGGCAGCCAGUCAAGCUACACUGCCUUGACAUCCUAAGAGAGUCUCAUUGUUGGGCCAAAGGGAGAGUUUAACUGAUGUUAACUCUGUUUUCAAGCCCUUGACUACAGCAAUUCAGCCGCCAAGGUGUAUCCAUGACCUUCAUAUGAAAGACAUUUAUGCUCCUCUACCAUAAGCACUGGCCAGGUGGAUGAGGAGACAAGCCUUUUUGAGAGCAAAAGUAGAUGCAAGUUUAUUUCCAAGUUUCCAGUGAACUCAUUAACUAAGACAGUCAAGUAACAUUACCCAGCCAGUCUGCUCUGGCCAGCAGCAAGAACUUCUCCAUUUGCUAAUACUAAUAAAGACCAGGAAGAUAAGGCCCAGAUUAAAAGCAGCACAAAAAUAUACAUCAAAACUACUUUUUUCCAUCUGGAAUGAAACAAAGAAGUUUCAGAUUCAUGCCCUUAGAAAAUACUAAGGCCACGAAUCAAACAACACCAAUGAUAAACUCCAACAUACUUCUUUCGUUGCUCAGCCAGGGAACUGCCUCUUGUCUGUGCAAACAUGUCGAAAUCAUCACGAGGGUUACAGUGUUGCAGGGAGCUGAGUGUGCCACUGACGCUGUUUGUACCCAAGUCUGCAACAGAAGCGGACCAAUGAAACAGUAUUUCACAUGCAAGCAACACUGCCAUGACUGCAUAGGCUAUAGAGGAAGUUAUUAACAACACAGCUAUAAACAUCAUCUAGUUAACAGCUGUAGCACUGAGCACAACGCUGCCCAGAAGGAGCUGGAGGCUGCCCAUCAUGCACUCCUGAAAGGACAAAUGGAGAGAUUGUUUUAUUACUCCUAGAAGCAUCCCAUCAUAGCAAUUCCUGACCAAGAAGUCGGCAGCAGGUGCACACCUAUUGCCAGAUGCUAAUCUCAUCCUGAGAUAUUUAUCAUUCAGUGGCACAGUGCAAAAUUUUGGACAUGGAUAUACUAUUCUGCCUCAGAAUGUUGUCUCUCAGCUACUGACUGUGGAACCAACAGUUUCAGAUCAAGUGAUCUGAUACCAGCAUGGUGCUGAAAGAGGCAGAGAACCUCCAGUCAAAUCAAGUGAUCACAUCAAGCAGUUUUUGGUUUGGUUUAAUGUAAACGAUCCACCAGUUUCAUAGGAUCUUUCACUCAGAGUAUUCAAAUAUUAUUUGCAGGAGAACAGCCCAGAAUAUUAACUGGAUUCACCCCAUUGAGUGCUAAACCUUAGCAAGAAUAAUAGUACAAGUUUUACCAGGACUGAAAACUUGGAUCUGUCUCUUCUCCUUCAUGCUCCCCUUUGGUUAAUAAAUCCCUCCCUCUUGUGCCAGGCUGAUUCCCAAUUACCGAUCACUAUAGGGCAGGGGAAUGGGAAAGCCCUCCAAAACGUGGAAGCCACAUAACCAAAACUUCCUAUGGUUAUACAGCAAAAGUAGAGGUGAGUCAAAGGGUGCAGAAUGAAAAAGAUGUCUCCUUGUAAAUCCCAACAGCCCGUUGCAGGAAGGGCUCGCAUCAGAUGUUCAGGUCUGUCAAGGGACCUCAGCCAUAGCUCAGACUCGCUCCUAACACUCAAGAUCUGCCUAGCUGUUCCUGUGUGCUCUUCAAGACCCACAGAUUGGUCAGGUUUGAACAAAUCCAUGCAUUACAGCCUCACGUUCAUCAGCACUAUUAAACCAGGUACUCACCAAGCCCUGCAAGUUGUGAAGAAAGCGAUGAUGGUGGUGCUGAGUUUCCGACCAUUGGGCUCACUACAGCUGGAGAGCCAGGACCCAAAUCUAUUAAGUUAUCUUCUGUCACCUCAUUCAGAACCUGUUGGCACAUAAAAACAAAGCAAGUUACAAGUGCCAGAGAUUUUUUUUUUUUCCUCUGCAGUACAACAUUAAACACCAAAAAACCGUCUGCUUCCUAAAAAACCUUUCUUCCAUACUGCCAAAUGGGCUACUCCCCUGGAUACUAAAGAGAUUAAUGUAGAAAAGAAAGGGUCAGCCAGUUAAAAAAAAUAAAAUAAAAUAAAAAAAUCACUCUGACUGCUCAGGGCAGCAGGGAACUGUCCCAGAGGUCAUCUACAUCUCUUCAGAUUUAUCUCAUUUGUCUGUGCCUUCCACAUCUUUUUGCACCAGACCACCAUGAACGUCAGAAGCCUGCACAGACUCAAAAGCAAUCACAAAAGUCAAUAGAUGAAAGAAAAUCCAUCAAGAACUGUAAACAUAAAGAUGUUUUGGAGCGCUGACCUCCUGAGCUAGAAGUCUGCCAUGUUCUUACGCUCUUUUCCCUGUAUCCACUAUUAACCACCACAGGCAGGACACAGGUCUGACUUUUUAUCUGAUCCAUAAUGGCUGGUGUGGUGUAGCUACUAAUAUAAUACAUGGAGUUAGGUACUUACUCCAUUGCUGGCAUUUUGUGUGGAACGUCCUGAUCGGUAUCGUUCAAAUCUGUUUAAAAAAUAAUAAUAAUAAUAAAUCAAAAGGGACUAUUAAAGUCACCGAUAAACAAUGAAAAACGCAAGUUUAUAACGAAGUCAUGACAUGCUGGAUAAUGAAUGCAGCUUUCAUUGGUUCAAGAGAGAUCCUUAGCAGAUCUAACUCCAAGCUAGGACAAAGGGAGGAUAGUUACAGAAGUUGCAUUGUUGGCAAUGUGGAUAUUAAGUUGCCUAAUCUGAUCUUGCAGCACACACACGCCUGAAAAACACUGUAAGAUUUUGUCUUUUUUUUUUUUUUUUUCAUUAAGUGUUUCUUGAUAGACUGCUCUGUUAGCCAAGGGACAGAAGCAACUGCAGUAAGAUUGAUGCUCCCAGCUAAAUAAGCUGAGCACCGCAGUGACUCUUACUCCCACUUAACAGCUCCCUCUUGCUGCACUACAUGUAAAUUAGAAGCAAUAUACAUGCUAGCACAGCUCUACCCCAGGCAGCACGCACCAAAAGAAACAAUGCUUAACAAAAUCAUUCCUUAACAUACACUGGGUCAGCUCAAAGAUCAUCAGAAUCUAUGCUCAAAUAGGUUGGUGCUAUCCAAGAAUGAACAGUAAUGAGGUUAGAUAAAAACCCUCACAUUUCUUGGGGAGGAAGUCUAGCCAGCCAAGACCUGGUUCCUUCUCUACUCCUUCCCCACCCAGAUGUACACCUGGGACCCCAAAUGCAAACUCAGCAUGCAUGAACUCAAAAAGCAGAGGGAACUACUUCCACUCACAGCCUUCUUUAUCAUCAUUUUUCUGAAGUUAAGAGUUUUUCCUCAUUCAGAAGUAGUAACACGUGACCUCUCUAUUCAGUAAAAAAUAAGAAUACUGUGGGUUUUCUCUCAGCUGAACAAAACACAAUGGAGAACUGCAAGCAAACUAAAGCGUUUUCAUAAAGUAACAGAGGAAGACGUAGAUCUAAAAGGCAAGAAAACAAAGUCAGGCCCAAAUUUCAAUUUUAGGAAACUGUGGGUGUCUGGUGUUACUGGAAAUCCAGUUCCCUGAGCUGGAAACCUAGGACACCUCCCACCUCUCAUUUCUCACCAGCAGGCUGAUGUACCACACAUGUUCUUUUACAUCCAAAGCUCCACAGCGACAGCCAGAGCUCCUGCUAGAAUCACUGAAAGAGCUUCAGACCCAUAAGAGAAAUCAAUGUGAUGAAUGUGGAGCUUUUGGAACAACAGAGAAUUGGAAUUUAUUGAAGCACUCAGACCACCACAGCUAUUCUACCAUAAAUAGCUUGCCAGCACUGCUCAGCUCACCUUGCAGUGUAUAAUGGUUACAAAUAUGCCAGCUACAAUCAGCAAAGUUGCAGAUGGAGUAACAUAGAAAAAAAAAUAUUCAGGGUGACCAAACUGAGCCUUAGUGAUCGUUACUCUCUGCCCCACGUAGGAUCAUGCUCAUGCAUGAAACACGUACCAUUUCACACAAAAAGUCAGCAUUUGUUUCAAAGUUUGGCCCGAUCUCCUCUGAAGGGCUAAAUCAAAGACAAAAUUGAGGCCACUGAGUCUUCUUUCCAGCCUCUGCUGUGACAGCACAGAUUCACAGAUCUAGAGCCUAAUUUAUUUUUAAAGGCUUGAGAAACAAAGCCCUAUGCUAGGAACAAGGAACAAAGGGUGCUCUUUAGUGCCUCACUCCCCAGGCCUGUCAUUAAGGGGAAGAUUAAACUUUCCCAAGACUGUCGUAUCACGUGUCACUCCUGCAGCAGAUGUGGCUGACAGCGCCUUUGUCUGACAUGCUGGAAGUCCUGUGACCCACGUCCCGCCCCUGGGGAUGAUGCCUGCACGUCGACUCUUCAAAACCUCCGUUCUGCGUAAGCCAGGCCUUUUCAAGAUGUUAAGCAUUAUUUAAAAACAAAACCCUUCCAUGCAUGAAGGCUUCGUGCACAUCAGGCAGCUCCCCUCGCACCAGAACUGGAAGCGGGGAGCUCAGAGAUCAGAAGACAGAGAGCUGUCGGGAGCCUCCCCAAGCCAGGAAGCAGCACAGGCAUUUCUGCAGAGCCUACGUUAGGAAGUGGAACUGGCAGCUGGGGCUGUGCUGCUCUCAUUCCCUGGUUCCUACAUUCAUACAGCAACACAUGGUAGGAACUACAGAGUCAAGCCUCUGCCAGUUCAAAGAGUGUUGCACCACACUAGCCUGCAUUUUACAGAUAUUCUCUACAAAAAUUCAAUUGCAAGGACAGAAAAAACAAACAACAUAAUACUAAAAGAAACAACUGAAACAGGAAUAUUA